rnacentral:tRNA from 1 species
CAGAGGUAGCCUAGCCCGGCCAAGGCGCCGGCCUUGAGAGCCGGUGGUGCUCAGCACCUCGGGGGUUCGAAUCCCUCCCUCUG